AACAAUGAAUAAACAAGAGAAAAAUCAGUUCUUGAAGGAAUUGCGCCAAAGUAAUCGAGCCUUAAACAAGUACUUGUCAAUGAAGAAAUUGACUCACAUCAAUGUCAAAUCUGAUAUUAAUAGAGUCAAGAUUUGGAUUGAUUUCAAAAACUUUGAAAUUGAAAACUAUAGUGACUUUUAUUUUGUCUCUGAUCAUAAAUAUACUUCUGAAACUGAGAGUUCUAAUCUAGACUCUAAGGUUCCUGUGAGUGAUAAUAAUGAAUAUCUUCAUAAUGGAGUACUUGUUACAGAGGUUGCCAAAUGGAUUUUAAAACACAGAAUAACUAGAAAUGCAAGUGGCGAAUUGUUAACCAUUUACACCAGUAUAGUUAUCAUGUUGAUUUACCAAAAUGCACAAGGAAAAUUUUAAAUACUCCUAGGAAUUUUCCAAGCAAGUUAAAAUGUGGGGGUAAAUAUGUUCACCUUGGUAUUUCAAAUGACAAAUCAAGAACUUUAACAAUUAACCAGCAUUAUAGAUUUGAGUCAAAUAAAAUUUCUUUAGUUGUCAAUGUAGAUGGCAUCCCUUAUUAAAGUCAUGAAACACACAGGUUCGGCCUACAUUAUGUAUGUUUGACAAAGUGAUACCAUUUACUGUAGCAUUAUUUGUUAGUGAUAUCAAGCCAAAUAAUUGUGAUGAUUUUUAAUAUGAUUUUUUGCAUGAGUAUGAGUUAAUAUUUGCAAACCAGAAUAAAAGACAACGGGGAGCACAAUAAAUUGCUUUUUCACCUCAUAAAAGCAGGUGGAAAAACAUAAAAGAAAAUACAAAAAAAUUUAUAGUCAGAAUUAUGGAGCAUUAUGUUAUUGCCAAGUUGAAAAUGAAAAGCAAAAUUUGUGGUGAUAUGAAAAAGGUAUCAUUC